rnacentral:tRNA from 1 species
GUUUCUGUAGUUGAAGUACAACAAUAGUUUUUCAGACUAUUGGUCUGGGUUAAAGUCCCGGCGGAAAUA